AGAGCAUAGAGUGGAUGCCUUGGCAUCAGCAGCCGAAGAAGGGCGUGGCAAGACUGCGAAAAGCCUCAGUGAGCUGUCUAGCUAGCUUAGCUGGGGAUUCCCGAAUGGGGCAACCUGCUUGGGUGAAAACCAAGCACUCGCGAAAGCGAGAGGGAACUGGGCGAACUGAAACAUCUUAGUAACCCGAGGAAGAGAAAUCAACCGAGAUUCCCUGAGUAGUGGCGAACGAAAGGGGAAGAGCCCAAACCAGGAUAGCUAAGUGGACUUAGAGCCUAUGCUAUCUUGGGGUUGCAAGGCGCAAGGGGCAGAUUCUAAGGUCUGCCGCAGAGUGACAAAACUUUUCCUUAGUCAAAUGCUUCUGGAACGGGCAAUCGUAGAAGGUGAUAGUCCUGUAGGCGAAAAGGGAAAGUCUCUGCUUGUGUUCUUGAGUACCACGGGACACGUGGAAUCCUGUGGGAAGCAGGGGGGACCAUCCUCCAAGGCUAAAUACUGCUGAUGACCGAUAGUGAACCAGUACCGUGAGGGAAAGGUGAAAAGCACCCCGGGAGGGGAGUGAAAUAGAAUCUGAAACCCUAUGCUUACAAGCAGUCAGAGGUCCGAUUUAUCGGACUGAUGGCGUGCCUAUUGAAGAAUGAGCCGACGAGUUGAUCUAUGUGGCUAGGUUAAGCAACUUAGUUGCGGAGCCGAAGCGAAAGCGAGUCUGAAUAGGGCGAGGCUCAGUUUACUGAGCAGGUCGCAUGGAUCAGACCCGAAACCGGGUGAUCUACCCAUGGCCAGAGUGAAGCUCAGGUAAAAUUGAGUGGAGGCUCGAACUUGUGAAUCAGGCAAAAUUCUAGGAUGAGCUGUGGGUAGUGCAGGUGAAAUGCCAAUCGAACUCGGAAAUAGCUGGUUCUCCCCGAAAUGCAUUUACGUGCAGCCUCAGGACGUAAUUUACGGAGGUAGAGCUCUGGAUGAGCCAGGGGCCGUGAGGUUGCCGAACUCAACCAAACUGCGAAUGCCGUAGAUAGAAUCCUGGGAGUGAGACUGCGGGGGCUAAGCUCCGUAGUCGAGAGGGAAGCAGCCCAGACCAUCAGCUAAGGUCCCUAAACGCAGGCUAAGUGGGAAAGGAAGUUGUAUCGCAGAAACAGCCAGGAGGUUGGCUCAGAAGCAGCCAUCCUUUAAAGAGUGCGUAACAGCUCACUGGUCGAGUGGUACUGCGCCGACAAUUUAACGGGGCUCAAGUCUGCUGCCGAAGCUAUGGUCGAGCACUCAAUUCGUUGAGCGCUCGAGGUAGGGGAGCGUUGUCAUGGCUGCGAAGCUGUGGUGUAAGCCAUGGUGGAGCAAUGACAAGUGAGAAUGUCGGUAUGAGUAGCGUGAAGGCAUGUGAAAAUCAUGCCCACCGUAAACCUAAGGUUUCCUACGCAACGUUUAUCGGCGUAGGGUUAGUCAGGCCUAAGCUGAACCCUAAUGGGGUAAGCGAUGGACAGUAGUUUAAUAUUCCUACACCGCUGAGCUUUUGUUUUAAAGCAAAGGGGGGACGCAGUAAGGUAGGUUGAGCAUGCCUAUUGGACAUGGUGUGUUUCCAACUCAAGGUGCAUCAGGGCAGGCAAAUCCACCCUGGUAUUAAGCUGAGGGGAGGGAGAAUUUGAGGGGCGACCCGAGAAAACUCAACUGAGCCUACACUGCCAAGAAAAACCUCGUUGCUAAAAAGCUUGGCGCCUGUACCGCAAACCGCCACUGGUAGGUGGGGAUAAGUGUCCCAAGGUGUUCGAGAGAACCCAAAAUUGGCCCAGGCGACUGUUUAACAAAAACACAGGUCUCUGCUAAAGCGAAAAAGCUGAAAUAUAGAGGCUGAUACCUGCCCGGUGCCAGAAGGUUAAGGAGAGAGGUUAGGAUGGUAACAUUCGAAGCUUUGAACUGAAGCCCUGGUGAACGGCGGCCGUAACUAUAACGGUCCUAAGGUAGCGAAGUCCCUUGUCGGGUAAGUUCCGACCUGCACGAAAGGUUUAACGACCUGGGCGCUGUCUCAACGAGGGACUCGGUGAAAUUGAAUUGGGGGUGAAGAUGCCCUCUACCCGCGACAGGACAAAAAGACCCUAGCAGCUUUACUAUAACUUGACAUUGGGCUUAGGCUGAGCAUGUGUAGGAUAGGUGGGAGGCUGGGAAGCUGGGGCGUCAGCUUCAGCGGAGCCAACGGUGAAAUACCACUCUUGCUUGGUUUUGGUUCUAACCCACCUUCGGGUGGGGACACUGUCUGGUGGGUAGUUUAACUGGGGCGGUUGCCUCCUAAAAUGUAACGGAGGCGUCCAAAGGUUCCCUCAGCACGAAUGGAAACCGUGUGUAGAGUGCAUUGGCAUAAGGGAGCUUGACUGUGAGACCUACAAGUCGAGCAGGGACGAAAGUCGGGCAAAGUGAUCCUACGGCACUGUAUGGAAGGGCCGUGGCUUAUCGGACAAAAGCUACGCUAGGGAAAACAGGCUUAUCUUGCCCAAGAGUUCACAUCGACGGCAAGGUUUGGCACCUCGAUGUCGGCUCGCCGCAUCCUGGGGCUGGAGAAGGUCCCAAGGGUUGGACUGUUCGCCCAUUAAAGCGGCACGCGAGCUGGGUUCAGACCGUCGUGAGACAGGUCGGUCUCUAUCCGUCGUGGGCGCCGGAGAUUUGAGGGGAGCUCUCCUUAGUACGAGAGGAUUAGGAGGGACAGACCUCUGGUGUGCCAGUUGUUCCGCCCGGAGCAGUGCUGGGUAGCUAUGUCUGGUUGGGAUAAGCGCUGAAAGCAUAUAAGCGCGAAGCCCACCCCAAGAUGAGAUCUCCCACCGGUUUAACCGGGUAAAGCCGCAAGUAGACUACUUGCUUGA
rnacentral:rRNA from 1 species